GGUUCAUUCAAAUUUCUGCCCUAUCAACUUUCGAUGGUAGGAUAUAGGCCUACCAUGGUUUCAACGGGUAACGGGGAAUUAGGGUUCUAUUCCGGAGAGGGAGCCUGAGAAACGGCUACCACAUCCAAGGAAGGCAGCAGGCGCGCAAAUUACCCAAUCCCGACCGGGGAGGUAGUGACAAUAAAUACUGAUACAGGGGGCUUCUGCCUCUUGUAAUUGGAAUGAGUACAAUUUAAAUCUCUUAACGAGGAACAAUUGGAGGGCAAGUCUGGUGCCAGCAGCCGCGGUAAUUCCAGCUCCAAUAGCGUAUAUUAAAGUUGUUGCAGUUAAAAAGCUCGUAGUUG
rnacentral:rRNA from 1 species